CACGGAGUUAGCCGGAGCUUAUUCUCCAGGUACUGUCAUUAUCAUCCCUGGUAAAAGAGCUUUACAACCCUAAGGCCUUCAUCACUCACGCGGCAUUGCUGGAUCAGACUUGCGUCCAUUGUCCAAUAUUCCCCACUGCUGCCUCCCGUAGGAGUCUGGGCCGUGUCUCAGUCCCAGUGUGGCUGAUCAUCCUCUCAGACCAGCUAAGGAUCGUCGGCUUGGUAGGCCUUUACCCACCAACUACCUAAUCCUACGCGGGCUCAUCCUUUGCCGAUAAAUCUUUGGUCCGAAGACAUCAUCCGGUAUUAGCAGUCAUUUCUAACUGUUAUUCCGAAGCAAAGGGCAGAUUCCCACGCGUUACGCACCCGUGCGCCACUAACCCGAAGGGUUCGUUCGACUUGCAUGUGUUAGGCAUGCCGCAGCGUUCGUCUGAGCCAGGAUCAAACUCU
rnacentral:rRNA from 1 species